GACGAACGCUGGCGGCGUGCUUAACACAUGCAAGUCGAACGGAAAGGCCCUGCUUUUGUGGGGUGCUCGAGUGGCGAACGGGUGAGUAACACGUGAGUAACCUGCCCUUGACUUUGGGAUAACUUCAGGAAACUGGGGCUAAUACCGGAUAGGAGCUCCUGCUGCAUGGUGGGGGUUGGAAAGUUUCGGCGGUUGGGGAUGGACUCGGGGCUUAUCAGCUUGUUGGUGGGGUAGUGGCUUACCAAGGCUUUGACGGGUAGCCGGCCUGAGAGGGUGACCGGCCACAGUGGGACUGCGAUACGGCCCAGACUGCUACGGGAGGCAGCAGUGGGGAAUAUUGCACAAUGGGCGGAAGCCUGAUGCAGCAACGCCGCGUGCGGGAUGACGGCCUUCGGGUUGUAAACCGCUUUCGCCUGUGACGAAGCGUGAGUGACGGUAAUGGGUAAAGAAGCACCGGCUAACUACGUG
rnacentral:rRNA from 1 species